rnacentral:rRNA from 1 species
CCUACGGGGGGCAGCAGUGGGGAAUAUUGGACAAUGGGGGGAACCCUGAUCCAGCCAUGCCGCGUGUGUGAAGAAGGCCCCCGGGUUGUAAAGCACUUUCAGUGAGGAAGAACGCCUGGUGGUUAAUACCCAUCAGGAAAGACAUCACUCACAGAAGAAGCACCGGCUAACUCCGUGCCAGCAGCCGCGGUAAUACGGAGGGUGCGAGCGUUAAUCGGAAUUACUGGGCGUAAAGCGCGCGUAGGUGGCUUGAUAAGCCGGUUGUGAAAGCCCCGGGCUCAACCUGGGAACGGCAUCCGGAACUGUCAAGCUAGAGUGCAGGAGAGGAAGGUAGAAUUCCCGGUGUAGCGGUGAAAUGCGUAGAGAUCGGGAGGAAUACCAGUGGCGAAGGCGGCCUUCUGGACUGACACUGACACUGAGGUGCGAAAGCGUGGGUAGCAAACAGGAUUAGAUACCCUUGUAGUC